rnacentral:rRNA from 1 species
UACGGGGGGGGCAAGCGUUGUUCGGAAUUACUGGGCGUAAAGGGCUCGUAGGCGGCCAACUAAGUCAGACGUGAAAUCCCUCGGCUUAACCGGGGAACUGCAUCUGAUACUGGAUGGCUUGAAUUCGGGAGAGGGAUGCGGAAUUCCAGGUGUAGCGGUGAAAUGCGUAGAUAUCUGGAGGAACACCGGUGGCGAAGGCGGCAUCCUGGACCGAGAUUGACGCUGAUGCGCGAAAGCCAGGGGAGCAAACGGG